AGAGUUGAUCAUGGCUCAGGAUGAACGCUAGCUACAGGCUAACACAUGCAAGUCGUGGGGCAGCAUGGUCAAAGCUUGCUUGACUGAUGGCGACCGGCGCACGGGUGAGUAACGCGUAUCCAACCUGGCCCAUAGUAGGGAAUAGCCCGGCGAAAGUCGGAUUAAUGCCCUAUGUUGUCCGAUGAAGACAUCUGAGUUGGACUAAAGAUUCAUCGCUAUGGGAUGGGGAUGCGUCCGAUUAGCUUGCCGGCGGGGCAACGGCCCACCGGGGCGACGAUCGGUAGGGGUUCUGAGAGGAAGGUCCCCCGCACUGGUACUGAGACACGGACCAGACUCCUACGGGAGGCAGCAGUGAGGAAUAUUGGUCAAUGGGCGGGAGCCUGAACCAGCCAAGUAAGCGUGCAGGAUGACGGCCCUACGGGUUGUAAACUGCUUUUAUACGGGGAUAAAGUGCGCCACGUGUGGUGUUUUGUAGGUACCGUAUGAAUAAGGACCGGCUAAUUCCGUGCCAGCCGCUGC
rnacentral:rRNA from 1 species